rnacentral:rRNA from 1 species
ACGCUGGCGGCGUGCCUAAUACAUGCAAGUCGAACGCACGGCGAAAGGUGCUUGCACCUUUCAAGUGAGUGGCGAACGGGUGAGUAACACGUGGACAACCUGCCUCAAGGCUGGGGAUAACAUUUGGAAACAGAUGCUAAUACCGAAUAAAACUUAGUGUCGCAUGACACAAAGUUAAAAGGCGCUUCGGCGUCACCUAGAGAUGGAUCCGCGGUGCAUUAGUUAGUUGGUGGGGUAAAGGCCUACCAAGACAAUGAUGCAUAGCCGAGUUGAGAGACUGAUCGGCCACAUUGGGACUGAGACACGGCCCAAACUCCUACGGGAGGCUGCAGUAGGGAAUCUUCCACAAUGGGCGAAAGCCUGAUGGAGCAACGCCGCGUGUGUGAUGAAGGCUUUCGGGUCGUAAAGCACUGUUGUAUGGGAAGAACAGCUAGAAUAGGAAAUGAUUUUAGUUUGACGGUACCAUACCAGAAAGGGACGGCUAAAUACGUGCCAGCAGCCGCGGUAAUACGUAUGUCCCGAGCGUUAUCCGGAUUUAUUGGGCGUAAAGCGAGCGCAGACGGUUUAUUAAGUCUGAUGUGAAGGCCCGGAGCUCAACUCCGGAAUGGCAUUGGAAACUGGUUAACUUGAGUGCAGUAGAGGUAAGUGGAACUCCAUGUGUAGCGGUGGAAUGCGUAGAUAUAUGGAAGAACACCAGUGGCGAAGGCGGCUUACUGGACUGCAACUGACGUUGAGGCUCGAAAGUGUGGGUAGCAAAC